CAGGCGCUGAGUUUACAUUGCCUGUAUCCUGGCAGCAAUGGAAGCUGGAAUCAUAAAGUAGGAAAUUCCUUCUGACACAUAGAAUGUGUUCAAAAGGUGCUAGAGACCUAAAACAGCAGAAAAAUAAUUGUCCACUAUAACACUGUAUGAUAUAUUCCUGCUUGAGUGGAGUAUAAGCCCCAUUUUGAAGAAUAGUGUAAAAUUGUAUAAAUAAAGUCAGCCAAUUAAGAAGAGUCUUAAAUGUCAGACUUACUAAUUGAGACUACUUGGCAAAUAAUGUGCUGUUAAGAAAGCAAACAAAGUAACAGUGUACUGUUCUUGGAAGUUAAUUUGGCUACAAUAUAUGGAAGAGAAAUAAGAGUGGAAAUCAAUUAAACUAGCCAAGAUAUUUUUGCAGCAAUAAAGUCAAGAUACCUCGUGAGUCCUCCCUGUUGGGUCCUUGUGGCAGCGGGAUUGAAAAGAGCAACAAACCAGCAGGACUUUCUGUGAAAUCAUUGACCACCAUAUACUCCUUAAGUCUCCAGAGUUAACUCCUAAUUCUCAGCACCUGAGAGCCAAAGUGAACCAUCAGGAGCCACAGGUACUCACUGUCUUAGCCCUGCUGAACUGUCUGACAAAGACAGACUGGCAUGGGAAACUGAAGCAUCAAGAGAUUAAGAAAGAAGCACAUAGCAAGUGUUCUUCAGUUACAUGCUGCAGACAGGCCUUCUCUACUUUGGGGGAAAGUGAACACUGCCAGUACCAAAUUCAUAUUUGCCUACUUAGCAUCCUAGGAGGAAGCUGAAGAAAACGUCUUUCCAACAGGACCUAGAAAUCAAUCCCAGUAAAAGACUGUGGCUCCUGUCAUGUGAUCACAGAUGGACCAUUUGCUGGGUCUGAAAAGCCUAAGUCAUGUGAACAUCCCUGUUGUAACAACAAAAGAAAGUACUAAUAUCAGAAAAAAAAGAUGGAAGAACUUUCCAGACAAAUAAAAACUAAAAUAUUUGCCUUUU